ACUUUUACAGUGCGCUCAAAGGUUAGUACACCGGAUGCAUGCGCGUUCCAUUCAUUCUACAAUUUAUGCGUAAUUACGCGAUUAUAACAAAUUAACGCAACUCUUUACACAUUGCAUGCGUUGGAGUAACUUGUUGAAGGAGAACACCACAUGUACCAUGUUUACAAAUAUUAGUGAGUGAUUAAUAAUGUAAAUGAUCGAACAUGAAUUGAUGUCAUCAGCUAACCAUAAUUUCAUAAGAAUAGGCGUAGUCACAGAUCAUGAGCAUGUCUUCAACAAUGUUUCCGUUACUGCGCUGUAGGUGCGCUGGUGCUUGAUCUUCAUCCCGAGUUGGCAACAUGUUCAACUUUAAUUAAAUGAAAGAGUUCGGAAGGCAACUUCGUUCUGUCUCACCAGCCUCACCAAGGACAACUAUGCAUUUGAUGGCACUGUCAGAUUCAACACCAGAAAUGCAACAAUUUUAUUUUUCAAAUUCCAUACAUCACUUUCUAUGGACUGUAUCGAAGCUGACCAAGAGAAUAUUGACAGUUUUGCAAUGUUUUUUUUUGCCACUCAGUUGUUGUAUUCUAAAUGCCCAUUCACUCAGGUACAAUACAAGUGCUAAUCCCGGGUGAGAAAGAGGCUUACAUCGAGGUGAAGUUUAAACAACUGGAUGGUGACAAAGCCACUGUGGAGACCAAAGAUGUGCGGAUAGGCCUCCUACCUGAUGGGGAUCAAUUCAGGUGACCUCACCAAAGGUCUGCUGCACCCUCGGGUCAAAGUGUGUAACGAGUACAUCGUCAAGGGCCAGACUGUUUGCAGGGUUUAAGAUCUUCGAGGUUCAACAACUUUGAGUAGCUGUGCAUAAACUUCCCCAAUGAGAAACUACAACAGUAUUUCAACCACCACAUGUUCAUCCUGGAGCUGGAUGAGUAUAAGAGGGAGGGUAUUGAGUGUACCUUCAUCAACUUUGGCUUGGAUCUACAAACCUGUAUCAAACUCAUUGAGAAGGUAUGUGUCUGUUGUUUCAGCCAUUCAAAUAAGGGGCUAGAGCAGAGGAACUGGUACAUUUUGCCUGUGAAGAGUGGUUUGAUUUCUGUGUGAUUUACUCUCGUUUGUUUCCUGCAGUCCAUGGGCACAAAGUAUACUGCCCAUCCUAAAACUUUAUUUAUUUCUAAAACAGGAAACACUUAUCUCCCUCACUAGCUUUAAGCACCAGCUGUCAGAGCAGCUCACAGAUUACUGCACGUGUACAUAGCCCAUCUAUAAU